rnacentral:rRNA from 1 species
CGGGACGGGUGAGUAACGCGUGGGUAACCUGCCUCAUACAGGGGGAUAACAGUUAGAAAUGACUGCUAAUACCGCAUAAGCACACAGUACCGCAUGGUACAGUGUGAAAAACUCUGGUGGUAUGAGAUGGACCCGCGUCUGAUUAGCUGGUUGGCGGGGUAACGGCCCACCAAGGCGACGAUCAGUAGCCGACCUGAGAGGGUGACCGGCCACAUUGGGACUGAGACACGGCCCAA